AUUGAACGCUGGCGGCAGGCCUAACACAUGCAAGUCGAGCGGAUGAAGGGAGCUUGCUCCUGGAUUCAGCGGCGGACGGGUGAGUAAUGCCUAGGAAUCUGCCUGGUAGUGGGGGAUAACGUCCGGAAACGGGCGCUAAUACCGCAUACGUCCUGAGGGAGAAAGUGGGGGAUCUUCGGACCUCACGCUAUCAGAUGAGCCUAGGUCGGAUUAGCUAGUUGGUGGGGUAAAGGCCUACCAAGGCGACGAUCCGUAACUGGUCUGAGAGUAUGAUCAGUCACACUGGAACUGAGACACGGUCCAGACUCCUACGGGAGGCAGCAGUGGGGAAUAUUGGACAAUGGGCGAAAGCCUGAUCCAGCCAUGCCGCGUGUGUGAAGAAGGUCUUCGGAUUGUAAAGCACUUUAAGUUGGGAGGAAGGGCAGUAAGUUAAUACCUUGCUGUUUUGACGUUACCAACAGAAUAAGCACCGGCUAACUUCGUG
rnacentral:rRNA from 1 species